GCCUCCAUUGUGAUCUGGGAGCCUGAUGUGCAGCUGCUGCUCCCCCAGUGGGCUCUGUGCUGGGAGAUGGGAACUUUCUGCGGUGGCUGGAAUCAGCUCCUGGGGCAGCCCCGGGCUCUGCCGACACCAGCCCCUGAGCCGGAGCCUGCAGGCAGCAGAAUAAGGACCACGUUUCACUCCAGAUCGUCCCAUCCUCCCAGGGGACAGGCCAGGGAAAUGGCUGUGAUGGAGCCAGCUCAGGUGCCAGACGCUUUCGAGGAGGUGACUGUCUGUGCCACGGAGGAGCAGUGGGCUGUGCUGGACCCUGCUCAGAGAACCCUCUUCAGGGAUGCCAUGCCAAAGCAUUGCAGGACAGUGCUCACAACGGG